rnacentral:lncRNA from 1 species
AGAAACCAAUUGUCGUUGUUUUACUUCCGAAACGCUGACCGACAAGGUUACUCCAGUCAUGACUGCCGGGUAAUUUCAUUUCUGAAAUUGUUCUUCAUAAAAAAAGGUUGGUGGAGAUUGUUCUCAAUGUGGAAUGCCAAAUCAACAAGAUGAGAUAAGAUGCCAAGCCUCCAAUGAGGCCUCUACCAUGUUGCGAGAUGAAAAUGUGCACACUAGGCAAGCUGAAAUGGUUUCAUUGGUUAGAGAAAGUUUGAUGUUUGGUGUGGCAGUCAUUUUCUGAUUUAGAGGUGCACUGAAAUGGAUCUUCUACAGACUUGCAGUUCAACAUCAUACUUCAAUUUACCAUGUUGUUGUCCAUGCAGAGUUGAGCUGUUGUGCAGAAUAAUAGGUGUUGCCUGAUUGCUUUCUGGCAAUUUGUUGUUGUAUUCUUCUGCUACCUGUAUCCAUGUUGAGUUCAAUCGAACGGCGCCGUUCCGGACUUGAUCCAUUGGUGAAGCUAAGAAGAGGUUGCUGAACUUCAAGAGAUUGAUAAAUAAUUUAGUCUUAGAAAUUUUCAAAUUCAUAUCUGUUCUCUCUUUCCCCAAGUAAACAAAAUUUCCUCUUAGGUAGUUGUGUGGAUGGGUAAUUGCAAUAAGAUUUUAUAUUUUCUGUGAGAAAGCAUAGUUACAACCAUAAAAAUCUUAUGUAAUGAUGAUCAACUUACAUCCACCAUAACAAACCUGACAUAAUCAAUAAUACCACCUUGUUAUAAAAUAAUAAUUAUUGAAAUCAUAA